GACGAACGCUGGCGGCGUGCCUAACACAUGCAAGUCGAGCGGAGACAGUGAGUAGCUUGCUAUGAGCUGUUUUAGCGGCGGACGGGUGAGUAACGCGUGAGCAACCUUUCCCAGACAGGGGAAUAACACACCGAAAGGUGUACUAAUACCGCAUAAGACCACGGGAUCACAUGGUUCUGAGGUAAAAGAUUUAUCGGUUUGGGGUGGGCUCGCGUCCGAUUAGGUAGUUGGUGAGGUAACGGCCCACCAAGCCGACGAUCGGUAGCCGACCUGGGAGGGUGAUCGGCCACAUUGGGACUGAGACACGGCCCAAACUCCUACGGGAGGCAGCAGUGGGGAAUAUUGGGCAAUGGAGGAAACUCUGACCCAGCAACGCCGCGUGGAGGAAGAAGGUUUUCGGAUCGUAAACUCCUGUCCUUGGAGACGAGUGGAAGACGGUAUCCAAGGAGGAAGCCCCGGCUAACUACGUGCCAGCAGCCGCUGUAAAAC
rnacentral:rRNA from 1 species